UAGGGAAUAUUGCGCAAUGAACGAAAGUUUGACGCAGCGACGCCGCGUGAGUGAUGAAGGUCCUCGGAUCGUAAAGCUCUGUCAAGAGGGAAGAAGUGUUGGUACUCUAACAUAGUACUAAUUUGACGGUACCUCUGAAGGAAGCACCGGCUAACUCCGUGCCAGCAGCCGCGGUAAUACGGAGGGUGCAAGCGUUAAUCGGAAUUACUGGGCGUAAAGCGCGCGUAGGCGGGUUUACAAGUCAGAAGUGAAAUCCCCGGGCUCAACCUGGGAAUAGCUUUUGAUACUGUGGACCUUGAGUUCGGGAGAGGGUGGCGGAAUUCCAGGUGUAGGAGUGAAAUCCGUAGAUAUCUGGAGGAACAUCAGUGGCGAAGGCGGCCACCUGGCCCGAUACUGACGCUGAGGUGCGAAAGCGUGGGUAGCAAACA
rnacentral:rRNA from 1 species